GGUUGUGGCUUAGUGGUAGAGCGCUUGCCCAGCAUGUGUGAGGCACUGGGUUCAAUUCUCAGCACCA
rnacentral:tRNA from 1 species